rnacentral:rRNA from 1 species
UAAGUAAGCGGAGGAAAAGAAACUAAAUAGGAUUCCCUUAGUAAUGGCGAAUGAACAGGGAUCAGCUCAGGAUGGAAAUCGGGGCCCUCGGCCUUGAAUUGUAAUCUGGAGAUGCAUUACCAACUGGGGCACAGAUGUAAGCCUCUUGGAAAAGAGCAUCAGUGAGGGUGAGAAUCCCGCAUGGCAUCUGUAGUCCUCAGUGUACGGUGUGCAUUCUAAGAGUCACACUCCUCGGGACUGGAGUGCAAAUCGGGUGGUAAAUUUCAUCUAAAGCUAAAUAUUUGUUCGAGACCGAUAGCAAACAAGUACCAUGAGGGAAAGGUGAAAAGGACUUUGAGAAGAGAGUUAAAAGUGCCUGAAAUUGCUGAAAGAGAAGCGAAUGGAACCAGUCAAACUUGGCAAGAUUGUUACGUGCCAGCGGGAUUGCUCGCUACUUCAGCGAAAGCGGGGUAGUGGGUUUUGAUCGUGACGUACGUGGUGUUUCUUGCUUGGCCUGUCAACUUCAGUUCACGGGUGAGGAAAACUUCAAGGACCUGGUAGCUUGCCAUCCGGUGAGUGAAUGUGCUUGUUGGAACUCAUCUGUGGUCUGAUCGUUGAUGAAAUGGUUCCAUCCGACCCG